GACGAACGCUGGCGGCGUGCUUAACACAUGCAAGUCGAGCGGACAGGCGCUGAUUUUGUGGGGUGCUCGUGUGCCGAACGGGUGAGUAUCACGUGUGUAUCAUGUACUUGUAUUACGGAUAUCUUCAGGAAACACGGGCUAUUACCGGAUAGGAUCUUCUGAUGCAUGGGGGGGGUUGGAAAGUUUCGGCGGUUGGGGCUGGUCUCGCGGCUUAUGAGCUUGUUGGUGGGGUAGUGGAUUACAAAGGCUUUGACGGAUAGCCGGCAUUAGAGGGUGGCCGGCGACAUGGGGACUGAGAGACGGCCCAGACUCGUACGGGAGGCAGCAGGCGGGAAUAUUGCAGAGUGGGCGGAAGCCUGAUGCAGCAACGCCGCGUGCGUGAUGACGGCCUACGGGUGGUAAACCGCUGUCGACUGUGACGAAGCGUGAGUGACGGUAAUGGGUAAGAAAGCACCGGCUAACUACGUG
rnacentral:rRNA from 1 species